rnacentral:rRNA from 1 species
UACAGAGGGUGCGAGCGUUAAUCGGAAUUACUGGGCGUAAAGCGUGCGUAGACGGUAGCGUAAGUCAGAUGUGAAAGCCCCGGGCUCAACCCGGGAACUGCGUCCGAUACUGGAAGGCUUGAAUCCGGGAGAGGGAUGCGGAAUUCCAGGUGUAGCGGUGAAAUGCGUAGAUAUCUGGAGGAACACCGCUCGCGAAGCCCGCAUCCUGGACCGGCAUUGACGCUGAUGAGCGAAAGCCAGGGGAGCAAACGGG